UGCAAUUUUUUUAACAUGUGCUGUGACUUUAGAAGAGUGAAAUAAAGAAUAUGAGCUGCUAUGAUCAUUGCAGUGAGGGAGUAUACCUGAGACUGUGGCUACAUUAUUUAGAUGAAAUGUUAUUCAAUGUAAAAUGAAACAUAAAGCAGACUCAAAAAGCAAAAGAGAUGCAAAGAUCAGGACAAUAGACCACAAGAAAAAAGUGAUUCAUAAAACAGAUUGAAUCUGUUGAUCAUUGGAAAUAGAGGAUGAUUGAGGAGCUUUGACAAAUAGAAAUGUGACUAAGAUUGAUUAGAAAUUUAUUAUUAACAGAACACAUGUGAUCUAAUUGUUGAAAUAAUGUGGGCUGAUUAACAUUAAGUCAUAACCUUCUGUUCCGGUGUGUCAGUGUCACCAAUGUUUCCCAGAGUUUUAGGACCAGAUCUAGGAGACUUUUGGUUCUGAAGUUCAGGAAACAGACUUCUUACUGGGAGGAAGACUUUCCCCAUUUUGAAUAGAAUAAGACAUGCAAAUUGGGUCCCUCCCUACUGGAAUGAAAAGCAGUGCCCUGUAUCUCUGGAGCACAAGCUCAAGCUGUUUGUGUCCUAUGCAGAGGACUAACCUAGAAACACACCAUGAAACUGAGGCUGAAUUGGAUUUUCCUUCUGACUUUUUUCCAAGGUGUCCAGUGUGAUGUGCAGUUGGUAGAAUCUGGGGGAGAUGUGGUUCAGCCUGGAGGAUCUCUGCGUCUCUCCUGCAAGGCUUCUGGAUUUACCUUCGGUAGCUACUGGAUGGAAUGGGUCCGCCAGGCUCCAGGGAAGGGACUAGAAUGGGUUGCAAGCAUUCACACAGAUGGAAGUAGUACAUACUAUCCAGACUCUGUGAAAGGUCGAUUCACCAUCUCCCGAGAUGAUGGCAACAGCAUGCUACAUCUACAGAUGAAUUCCCUUAGUACUCAGGACACAGCUAUAUAUUACUGUGCAGGAGACACAGUGAGGAAAAAUAAUAUGAGGCUAGACAGAAAUUUCCCCUGCCAGGAAGUAACAUGCCAGCAAGGCCAGUAAAAGUUGUCCUCAUGAGAGCUCAUGAUGCACAGAGUACAGAAUUUCUACAUCCAGAAACUGGUGUGAAGUGAAACUGAGCCAUUUCUAUUUAUGGCAUAUGUUGUUUUUUCCUCUAUCCCCGGAGAAAGCAACUUUUCCCACUAACUAGUUGUCAUUUUCAGUGCCUCACUCUCACACCCAUCUUCUCCCCACAUUUAAUCAGUAGCUAUGUCCUAUAUUUCUGCUUUCAUCACUAUUUUUUAAACUCUCUUUCUCUGCUCAACUGCUGCAACUACACUGAAGUAGGCAUCAUCAGGAUUAUUAUGCAUCUGAUGGUUGUCCCUCCCUCAGUACUCUCUUCACUAUAGUCUGUUCUAAAUUCAGUUAUCAGAAUUAUCUUUCAAAAGCACAAGUCUAACCAUCUCCAUCAAAUUCCACAUUAUUCCAUAAAUUACCUCCAGGAUAAAAUAUAAAAUCCUAUUUGUCUUUUAAAUCUUUCAUAGCCAUGGCCACUUCUUGGAAAAGAUUUUUUAUUUCAUCCUAUGUUCCUUUCUUCCACAUAUUCAGCAAUACAGUGACACCAACCUCCUUUUUGCUCCUUUCACAAGAGAUUCCAUCUCCAUGUGUUUUGACUAGCUGGAAUUUUCUAUAUCUCUGCCAUUUGUUCCUCUUGGAUUUUUUCAGCUCUUACCUAAAAUUAUCCCAAAAUAAAACUUCCUGUUAACCCUUUGUCUUAUUUGACUUACUCUCUGAUUUUAGAAGAUACUAGAAUUCUUCUCUGUAAUGUUCUUCUUUUCUAAAAUAUGAUCGUCCUCCAGGAGCAGAUUUCUUGGGGAGCUUCUGGAGGCAACUUUAGUUUCAGUUCAAAGAUAUAAUCACCUCAAAUGCAGCUAGAGUUAAAAUCCAAAUCCUUUACUGUCUCCUUCAAAAUAGCCAGGUUAGUUUUCUUAGAGGCUUAUCUCUCUCCUUAGUUCCAAGAGCUCCUUUUGCUAGUCCUUUUGCCUCUUCCAGCUUCAGCCUCUCUUCUUCCAAAUCCCCAGCAUCUGCUUUCUCGAUCUCCUCCACUGACUCUCGGCUGAGGCUUGUCCUUUUAUAUGCUCUUUUAGAGGUGUGAAUUCAAUGAUUGACUCCUCCUCUGGGAAUGGGUUUGUGGGAGCUGUGACUUGUGAAUCUCCUGACUGAAUACUGACUUGUGAAUCUCUAAUGCUAAUGUGUGAACUCUUAAAGUUGUGAAAGAUAUGAACUCUGAACUAGAGAACUGCUAAGCACAAUGCUAAAAUUAGACAACUGACAUCACUUUGUAAGAAUCCUAACACUUCUCUCCAUAUUAGAAUAUAUUUAUUUAAUAUCACAAAGUCCCUUCAGUAUUACACAUGCUUAUCUUUUCAGUUCAAUCUUGCUGUCAAUAUAAGUAGUUCAAAAUUUCUACUAAUACUGGUCUUUUCAUUAGCCAUACUUGAUUCUUUUCUGGUAAAAAUCCAUUUUUCCUCUGUAUGAUUAAAAUAUUUUGCUGAGUAACUUA